rnacentral:rRNA from 1 species
UACGUAGGCAGCGAGCGUUAAUCGGAAUUACUGGGCGUAAAGCGUUCGCAGGCGGUCUGUUAAGACCGAUGUGAAAUCCCCGGGCUUAACCUGGGAACUGCAUUGGUGACUGGCAGGCUUUGAGUGUGGCAGAGGGAGGUAGAAUUCCACGUGUAGCAGUGAAAUGCGUAGAGAUGUGGAGGAAUACCGAUGGCGAAGGCAGCCUCCUGGGCCAACACUGACGCUCAUGCACGAAAGCGUGGGGAGCAAACAGG